AUACGGAGGGUGCAAGCGUUAUCCGGAUUUAUUGGGUUUAAAGGGUGCGCAGGCGGCGAUGUAAGUCAGUGGUGAAAGGCUGCCGCUUAACGGUAGGACUGCCAUUGAUACUGCAGUGCUUGAGUAUGAUUGAGGUAAGCGGAAUGUGUGGUGUAGCGGUGAAAUGCAUAGAUAUCACACAGAACACCGAUUGCGAAGGCAGCUUACUAAGCCAUUACUGACGCUGAGGCACGAAAGCGUGGGUAGCGAACAGGAUUAGAAACCCUAGUAGUCC
rnacentral:rRNA from 1 species